rnacentral:rRNA from 1 species
GAUGAACGCUGGCGGCGUGCCUAACACAUGCAAGUCGAACGAAGCACCUUACCUGAUUCUUCGGAUGAAAGUUUGGUGACUGAGUGGCGGACGGGUGAGUAACGCGUGGGUAACCUGCCCUGUACAGGGGGAUAACAGCUGGAAACGGCUGUUAAUACUGCAUCAGCGCACGAGGAGACAUCUCCUUGUGUGAAAAACUCCGGUGGUACAGGAUGGGCCCGCGCUGGAUUAGCUGGUUGGCAGGGUAACGGCCUACCAAGGCAACGAUCAGUAGCCGGUCAGAGAGAAUGAACGGCGACAUUGGAACUGAGACACGGUCGAAACGCCUACGGGAGGCAGCAGUGGGGAAGAUUGCACAAUGGGGGAAGCGCUGAUGCAGCAAGGCCGCGUGAGUGAAGAAGUAUUUGAGUAUGAAAAGCUCUAUCAGCAGGGAAGGUAAUGACGGUACCUGACGAAGAAGCUCCGGCUAAAUACGUG